UACGGAGGGUGCGAGCGUUAUCCGGAUUCACUGGGUUUAAAGGGUGCGUAGGUGGGUCUGUAAGUCAGUGGUGAAAUCUCCGUGCUUAACAUGGAAACUGCCAUUGAUACUAUAGGUCUUGAAUUUUCUGGAGGUCAGCGGAAUAUGUCAUGUAGCGGUGAAAUGCUUAGAUAUGACAUAGAACACCAAUUGCGAAGGCAGCUGGCUACAGGGAUAUUGACACUGAGGCACGAAAGCGUGGGGAUCAAACAGG
rnacentral:rRNA from 1 species